rnacentral:rRNA from 1 species
AACGAACGCUGGCGGCGUGCUUAACACAUGCAAGUCGAACGGAAAGGCCCUGAUUUUGUGGGGUUAUCGAGUGGCGAAGGGGUGAGUAACACGUAAGUAACCUGCCCUUGACUUUGGGAUAACUUCAGGAAAGUGGGGCUAAUACAGGAUAGGAGCUCCUGCUGCAUGGUGGGGGUUGGAAAGUUUCGGCGGGUGGGGAUGGACGGGCGGCUUAUCGGCUUGUUGGUGGGGUAGUGGCUUACCAAGGCUUUGGCGGGUCGGCGGCCUGGGAGGGUGACCGGCCUCAUUGGUCCUGCGGUACGGCGCAGACUCGUACGGGAGGCAGUGGUGGAGAGUAUUACACAGUGGGAGGGAGCCUGUUGCAGCAACGCCGCGUUCGGGAUGCCGGCUUUCGGGUUGUGAACCGCUUUCGCCUGUGACGAAGCGUGAGUGACGGUAAUGGGUGAAGAAGCACCGGCUAACUACGUG